AAUGAGUUGCCUGAUAAAAGGAUUACUUUGAUAGAGUAAAUUAUAUAAUAAUAUUAUACUCAUUA
rnacentral:tRNA from 1 species